GAAGGUUGGUACUUGUACCAACUGGAUGAGCAGCGAACGGGUGAGUAACGCGUGGGGAAUCUGCCUUUGAGCGGGGGACAACAUUUGGAAACGAAUGCUAAUACCGCAUAAAAACUUUAAACACAAGUUUUAAGUUUGAAAGAUGCAAUUGCAUCACUCAAAGAUGAUCCCGCGUUGUAUUAGCUAGUUGGUGAGGUAAAGGCUCACCAAGGCGAUGAUACAUAGCCGACCUGAGAGGGUGAUCGGCCACAUUGGGACUGAGACACGGCCCAAACUCCUACGGGAGGCAGCAGUAGGGAAUCUUCGGCAAUGGACGAAAGUCUGACCGAGCAACGCCGCGUGAGUGAAGAAGGUUUUCGGAUCGUAAAACUCUGUUGGUAGAGAAGAACGUUGGUGAGAGUGGAAAGCUCAUCAAGUGACGGUAACUACCCAGAAAGGGACGGCUAACUACGUGCCAGCAGCCGCGGUAAUACGUAGGUCCCGAGCGUUGUCCGGAUUUAUUGGGCGUAAAGCGAGCGCAGGUGGUUUAUUAAGUCUGGUGUAAAAGGCAGUGGCUCAACCAUUGUAUGCAUUGGAAACUGGUAGACUUGAGUGCAGGAGAGGAGAGUGGAAUUCCAUGUGUAGCGGUGAAAUGCGUAGAUAUAUGGAGGAACACCGGUGGCGAAAGCGGCUCUCUGGCCUGUAACUGACACUGAGGCUCGAAAGCGUGGGGAGCAAACAGGAUUAGAUACCCUGGUAGUCCAUUAGAUACCCUGGUAGUCC
rnacentral:rRNA from 1 species